AUUGAACGCUAGCGGCAUGCUUUACACAUGCAAGUCGAACGAGUGGCGGACGGGUGAGUAAUGUAUCGGAACGUGCCCAGUAGCGGGGGAUAACUCCUGGAAACGGUGGCUAAUACCGCAUACCAUUCGCUCGGCCCAUUUUGGAUUAGCUAGUUGGUGGGGUAAAGGCUCACCAAGGCCACGAUCCGUAGCUGGUUUGAGAGGGUGACCAGCCACACUGGGACUGAGACACGGCCCAGACUCCUACGGGAGGCAGCAGUGGGGAAUUUUGGACAAUGGGGGAAAGCCUGAUCCAGCCAUCCCGCGUGUAUGAGAAGGCCUUCGGGUUGUAAAGUACUUUUAGCAGAGAAGCGGUAUCUGCAGAAUAAGCACCGGCUAACUACGUGCCAGCAGCCGCGGUAAUUC
rnacentral:rRNA from 1 species